UACGGAGGGAGCUAGCGUUAUUCGGAAUUACUGGGCGUAAAGCGCACGUAGGCGGCUUUGUAAGUAAGAGGUGAAAGCCCAGAGCUCAACUCUGGAAUUGCCUUUUAGACUGCAUCGCUUGAAUCAUGGAGAGGUCAGUGGAAUUCCGAGUGUAGAGGUGAAAUUCGUAGAUAUUCGGAAGAACACCAGUGGCGAAGGCGGCUGACUGGCUCAUUUCUGACGCUCAGGCGCGACAGCGUGGGGAUCAAACAGG
rnacentral:rRNA from 1 species